rnacentral:rRNA from 1 species
UACAGAGGGGGCAAGCGUUGUUCGGAAUUACUGGGCGUAAAGGGCGCGUAGGCGGCCGCCUAAGUCAGACGUGAAAUCCCUCGGCUUAACCGGGGAACUGCGUCCGAUACUGGAUGACUUGAGUUCGGGAGAGGGAUGCGGAAUUCCAGGUGUAGCGGUGAAAUGCGUAGAUAUCUGGAGGAACACCGGUGGCGAAGGCGGCAUCCUGGACCGACACUGACGCUGAGGAGCGAAAGCCAGGGGAGCAAACGGG